AAUAAAUAUAGCCAUGAGUUUCAACGCCAACUUUAAUCGUUCGUCUUAUUUUUUUUAUAAUUAGUAUUUUUGUUAUUAUAAAAUGAUAAAUCAUGAAUAGUACUUUACUUGUGACUUAUGUUUUUAAUUUUUUAAAUUUCUUUUAAAUAAGACGAAUAGUAAAAGUUGGACGCGGAAAACCAUAACUGUAUUUAUU
rfam:Oryza meridionalis cultivar OR44 (W2112) chromosome 3, whole genome shotgun sequence.